rnacentral:rRNA from 1 species
CCCGAACUCCUGAACCCGCGAAGAAAAAAAGAAAGAGAAAAAGGCAAUGCCCACGCCCACUCGUCCACGAUCUCCUUCCCGAUCCCCAACCUCCCGCUGCCACAACCGCCGCCUCCCGCCGCCAGCCCCUGGCUCCGGCAUGCCUCCUGCUGCCGGUGCCGGCACGCCUCCCACCGCCGGCCACCCUGGCCCCGUCGCCGCCCCCGACCCCGACGCGCCUCCCGCCACCGGCCAUCCCGACCCCGACGCGCCUCCCUCCGUCGGCCACCCCGGCCUAGGAUCCGGCAGCCAUGCUGCCUUCUUCCCCCGGAUCCAGCCGCCAUGACGCCUCGUCCUCCCAGAUCCGCUCGCGGGACCGUUCCCGCCGUCGCCUAGUGCCGCCACACGCCGCCGCCAUAGAAGCUUCAACGCCUCCGUUCGCGCCGCAAUGGCCACUCGAGCCACCAUGGCCCCAGUUCCCAUCAACGCCUUCGGCCAAGCGCCGCCGUACUCGCCGACGCCGGCUCCUUCCUCCUCCGGUGCACUACCUAAGCUCCUCUCCCGAGGCCCCCGUCCCCCGCCCCUCCGGCCUUCUUCCCCGGAGCCGGCGGCCGCCUUCUUCCACAGAGCCAGCGGUGGCUCCGCCUUCCUCAGUCGUGCUUUUCCGUGGAUGUUCCCCACGGUCAUCCACUUCACCGUUGGGAAAUCAAAACACUUCGGCUCCCUCCGCACGAGCAGUCUGUAACCUUGGUCACGAGCAGUCCGUCUCCUAGCAAGCUAGCAAUUUGUUGCCGAUGCCGCUCCUCUUGAUCGUGUAGGCCGAGCUGCUCCUGUGUCGGUUGGCCGUCCUGGGCCCUGCCGCCGGCUCCCCCGAGCUCUGCCGUCCUUCUGCUCCAUCCUCUGCCCAUGAACCGCUGGACCCCGAGCUCGACCAGCCUCAACCGUGUGUGCGAGCAUGCACUGGUGCGCUCAUUUUGUGGUGUGUUCGUGCGUGCGUGCACUGUUUUGGCUGCGUACGUGCGUGGUGUUCUGUUGGAAAGUUCAGCUACUGUAUCUUGGGAAGAGCUAAUUCAUUUUCAGUAAUGAUACUACCUCAAUGCCUUCUUCUCGAAUCAAACAUUUAGCUUGCUAUGCGUUUGGAGAAAAGAAUAAACAAGAUAACGCAAACCGGCACUGGUUGGAUAAGGUGAGAGAAGAUGCUAAUUUUGUGGUGAAGAAUUGUA